GGAUUCAUAAUCCCAUAGCAUAGCGUAAGAUGGAGACCCUCGUACUAUCUCCAUCUCUCCUGUUGCCACUAUCAGUUUUUGGCUGCCGCCGGCUUGCUGCUCUUCACCUUCUUCUUGGGCUCCCGGGGCUUCUGCUCAGCCUUCUUGACGCCGCCCUUGGCGGCCGCGGGCUUCGUCGCCGUCUCACUGAGCUUGGCAGCCGGCUCCUUGGCAAGUCCGGCAGGUUUCACGGCCUUCAGAGAAGCCAUUCUUCUGAUGCUUCUCUGCUCUGUUCUGUCCUGACCCUGGGAUAAGGCUCAGAAGCUC
rnacentral:misc_RNA from 1 species